GCGCAUUAGUAACUCCGAAGCCUAUUUCGCUAAGUUCGAAAGAAUACGGGAAAUAGGCCGUGACAUUCCGUCACCAGGGCGCUCAUAGAAAUGUGGUCGUCUCCCGUAUUUGGAAAGGUGUUUCGUGGCAACGCAA
rfam:Enterovibrio coralii strain CAIM 912 contig00037, whole genome shotgun sequence.